AAUUCAACUAUAUAUAUGUGUAUAUAUACAUAUAUACAAUCUUUUAAAAUUCUUCAGAUAUAAAACUUAAACUAAUUGCUUACUUUAAUAAAUUUAUAUUUACGUAAAUUGCAUAAAAUAUACUAAUUAAACCACGCACUAAAGAUAAACUUGGCAUUAAAAUUUUGAAGUUAAAAAGACACUAAUUAAUUGACUCGAAUCAAAAUAAGUUAAAAGAUCAAUUAAUUAAUAAAAUCAAAGUUUUUGUAAAAAACUA
rnacentral:lncRNA from 1 species